GCCCGUGUAGUGUAGAUGGUUAUCACUGUGGAUUCAUAAGCUUCGAGCGUAUGAAUAACCCGCCAACCCGAGUUCGAGUCUCGGCACAGGCA